rnacentral:rRNA from 1 species
GACGAACGCUGGCGGCGUGCUUAACACAUGCAAGUCGAACGAGUGGCGAACGGGUGAGUAACACGUGGGUGAUCUGCCUUGCACUUCGGGAUAAGCUUGGGAAACUGGGUCUAAUACCGGAUAGAUCAAGAUGAGCUCGCGGCCUAUCAGCUUGUUGGUGGGGUAAUGGCUACCAGGUCGCGACGGGUAGCCGGCCUGAGAGGGUGUACGGCAACAUUGGAACUGAGAUACGGCCCCGACUCCUACGGGAGGCAGCAGUGGGGAAUAUUGCACAAUUGGCUGAAGCCUGCUGCAGACAUGCCGCGUGUGUGAAGAAGGCCUUAGGGUUGUAAAGUACGUUCAGCGGGGAGGCGUUACCCGCAGAAGAAGCACCGGCUAACUCCGUGCCAGCAGCCGCGGUAAUUC